CAGAGGGUGCGAGCGUUAAUCGGAAUUACUGGGCGUAAAGCGCACGUAGGCGGCUUUGCAAGUCGGUUGUGAAAUCCCCGGGCUCAACCUGGGAACUGCGACCGAGACUGCAUUGCUAGAGUAUGGGAGAGGAAAGCGGAAUUUCUGGUGUAGCAGUGAAAUGCGUAGAUAUCAGAAGGAACAUCAGUGGCGAAGGCGGCUUUCUGGACCAAUACUGACGCUCAGGUGCGAAAGCGUGGGGAGCAAACAGGAUU
rnacentral:rRNA from 1 species